GGAGAAAUGCCGGAGUGGUCGAACGGGACUGACUCGAAAUCAGUUGUACGCAUUAGUGUACCGGGGGUUCGAAUCCCUCUUUCUCCGCCA
rnacentral:tRNA from 1 species